rnacentral:rRNA from 1 species
GCGACGCUGGCGGCGUGCCUAAUACAUGCAAGUCGAACGCUUCUUUUUCACCGGGUGCUUGCACCCACCGAGAAAGAGGAGUGGCGGACGGGUGAGUAACACGUGGGCAACCUGCCCAUCAGAGGGGGAUAACACUUGGAAACAGGUGCUAAUACCGCAUAAUUCUUUUUGUCGCCUGACAGAAAGAUAAAAGACGCUUUCGGGUGUCACUGAUGGAUGGNCCCGCGCUGCNUUAACUANNUGNAGGGGUANCNNCUCANUAGUNUUUNU